rnacentral:rRNA from 1 species
UGGUCUUGACAUCCCUGGAAUAUUUAGGAAACUAUUUAGUGCCUACUUCGGUAGGAGCCGGGUGAC